rnacentral:rRNA from 1 species
GCUCCAAUAGCGUAUAUUAAAGUUGUUGCGGUUAAAAAGCUCGUAGUUGGAUUUCUGUCGGAGACGCGCGGUCCGCACUAUGUGCGUGUAUCUGUGUCGGCUCUGGCAUCCUCCUGGGGAACGGUGCUGCGCUUGAUUGCGUGGUCCGGUAUUCAGGACUUUUACUUUGAGGAAAUUAGAGUGUUUACGGCAGGCAAGCG